rnacentral:rRNA from 1 species
AACGAACGCUGGCGGCAUGCCUAACACAUGCAAGUCGAACGAGACCUUCGGGUCUAGUGGCGCACGGGUGCGUAACGCGUGGGAACCUGCCCUUAGGUUCGGAAUAACUCCCCGAAAGGGGUGCUAAUACCGGAUAAUGUCUUCGGACCAAAGAUUUAUCGCCUUUGGAUGGGCCCGCGUUGGAUUAGCUAGUUGGUAGGGUAAAAGCCUACCAAGGCGACGAUCCAUAGCUGGUCUGAGAGGAUGAUCAGCCACACUGGGACUGAGACACGGCCCAGACCCCUACGGGAGGGAGCAGGGGGGAAUAUUGGACAAGGGGCGAAAGCCUGAUCCAGCAAGGCCGGGGGGGUGAUGAAGGCCUUAGGGUGGUAAAGCUCUUUUACCCGGGAUGAUAAUGACAGUACCGGGAAAAAAAGCCCCGGCUAACUCCGU